AAGGAAAACUGAUCUUCCGGUUAUUUUAUUUAUUUUGUUAUAACGCAGUACAGCAAGGCAGAGUGUGGUAAGCAGUAGAGAUCGAGAACAUGGCAGACGGAUAUGAGGACGGAGCCAUGAAGCCGACUCCACAGAAUGGGAGUCACAUUGUGUCAAUCAGACUCUACAGGAACAUUCUUAUGUCCGUGUUGAGGACAGAGAUGCAACUGUGUGUGAGUAUCUACUAUUUUAGAAUGUUGAUGAUAUUUUAUGCUUCAAUAUUGUUUAUGUACAUAAUGUAAUUAUGCUAUGUAUUGACAAUGCACAAAAAUGUUUUCCAGCUGCAUCCAGGACCUACUGCCAGUCUUCCGGAUGUAGCUAAAGAAAGAAGCAGGUAAGAUUUAUUACUAAUCUAGAGAUGUCACAAUUCCUUGAAUGAUUAAACUACUGUGAUUUAUUAAAAUCCAUCAAAGCAAAUUAUCUGCGUCAGAGUUUGUUGAACUAUGUUUUACUAUUCAUUUCCAACUGCUUUUAAUUAUUUUUUCUUCCAAUUGUUUCCAAGUGUUUUCUUUUUCAUUAAAGUUUUUAUUUUUUGUAAGAAUGUAUUAAUGUGUUUUUUUGUUUUUUUGUUUUAAUGUCUUAUGUGUGCAUACUAAGCUGGAAGUUGCCAAACAUUUUCACUGUAGCUCAUAAUAAUUGUCUGUCUGUAUUAACAGCUGAUGGAGGAAGGCAGAGAGUACUGGCAGCAGAGGAGGUGGCAUUCUGGGAAGAUGGCAGCUAUGAGGCGGUGUCAGGAUGGACCCCAAGUUCCUCCAACCAGGACCUCAGUGACAUCAGGACUGCAUUACAGGAAGAGACGUCAGGUCCACGCUACAGGAGAGAUGUUGGGCCUGUCCUGAACGCAGCAUAAUGUUUG